rnacentral:rRNA from 1 species
UACUAGAGUAGCACUCGCAUAUCAAUAAGCGGAGGAAAAGAAACUAACAAGGAUUCCCCUAGUAACGGCGAGUGAAGCGGGAAGAGCUCAAAUUUGAAAUCUUAAAGGGUUUCCCUUUACGAAUUGUAGUUUAAAGAAGUGUUUUCUGUUGAGGUUUUGGUAAAAGUUCUUUGGAAUAGGACAUCAUAGAGGGUGAGAAUCCCGUAUUUGACCUUUACUUUCAACUUUGUGAUACACUUUCAAAGAGUCGGAUUGUUUGGGAAUGCAGUCCAAAAUGGGUGGUAAAUUUCAUCUAAAGCUAAAUAUUGGCGAGAGACCGAUAGCGAACAAGUACCGUGAGGGAAAGAUGAAAAGAACUUUGAAAAGAGAGUUAAACAGUACGUGAAAUUGUCAAAAGGGAAGCGUUUGACACCAGUGUUGUUUUUCUGAAAAUCAAUUAAAGAACUGUUUAUGCUAAGUUGUUUAGACUUUAUCAGCUAUCUGUUUAGUUUUGAGCUUUUCUUUAAUGCACUUUUCAGUUAACAAGUCAACAUCAAUUUCUUUUGCUGUAAAAAAGCUUGAGGAAGGUGGCUUGAGAUUCGUCUUAAGUGUUUGUAGCCUCUUGCCUAUGCAGUCGGAGAGAUUGAGGUCUGCAGCGUAGAUCCUUCGGGGCUAAAUGCAUUUGUGCUAAGUUAUAGCAUUUUCAUAGACUAACUUGUUGACUAUGAUUUGUCUUGUAGCUUACUCGCUUAUGUUAUUUUACCUACGCUUAGGAUGUUGAACUACUGAGACAUAGA